GAUGAACGCUGGCGGCGUGCCUAAUACAUGCAAGUCGAGCGAACGGACGAGAAGCUUGCUUCUCUGAUGUUAGCGGCGGACGGGUGAGUAACACGUGGAUAACCUACCUAUAAGACUGGGAUAACUUCGGGAAACCGGAGCUAAUACCGGAUAAUAUUUUGAACUGCAUGGUUCAAAAGUGAAAGACGGUCUUGCUGUCACUUAUAGAUGGAUCCGCGCUGCAUUAGCUAGUUGGUAAGGUAACGGCUUACCAAGGCAACGAUGCAUAGCCGACCUGAGGGGGUGAUCGGCCACACUGGAACUGAGACACGGUCCAGACUCCUACGGGAGGCAGCAGUAGGGAAUCUUCCGCAAUGGGCGAAAGCCUGACGGAGCAACGCCGCGUGAGUGAUGAAGGUCUUCGGAUCGUAAAACUCUGUUAUUAGGGAAGAACAUAUGUGUAAGUAACUGUGCACAUCUUGACGGUACCUAAUCAGAAAGCCACGGCUAACUACGUGCCAGCAGCCGCGGUAAUACGUAGGUGGCAAGCGUUAUCCGGAAUUAUUGGGCGUAAAGCGCGCGUAGGCGGUUUUUUAAGUCUGAUGUGAAAGCCCACGGCUCAACCGUGGAGGGUCAUUGGAAACUGGAAAACUUGAGUGCAGAAGAGGAAAGUGGAAUUCCAUGUGUAGCGGUGAAAUGCGCAGAGAUAUGGAGGAACACCAGUGGCGAAGGCGACUUUCUGGUCUGUAACUGACGCUGAUGUGCGAAAGCGUGGGGAUCAAACAGGAUUAGAUACCCUGGUAGUCCACGCCGUAAACGAUGAGUGCUAAGUGUUAGGGGGUUUCCGCCCCUUAGUGCUGCAGCUAACGCAUUAAGCACUCCGCCUGGGGAGUACGACCGCAAGGUUGAAACUCAAAGGAAUUGACGGGGACCCGCACAAGCGGUGGAGCAUGUGGUUUAAUUCGAAGCAACGCGAAGAACCUUACCAAAUCUUGACAUCCUUUGACAACUCUAGAGAUAGAGCUUUCCCCUUCGGGGGACAAAGUGACAGGUGGUGCAUGGUUGUCGUCAGCUCGUGUCGUGAGAUGUUGGGUUAAGUCCCGCAACGAGCGCAACCCUUAAGCUUAGUUGCCAUCAUUAAGUUGGGCACUCUAAGUUGACUGCCGGUGACAAACCGGAGGAAGGUGGGGAUGACGUCAAAUCAUCAUGCCCCUUAUGAUUUGGGCUACACACGUGCUACAAUGGACAAUACAAAGGGCAGCGAAACCGCGAGGUCAAGCAAAUCCCAUAAAGUUGUUCUCAGUUCGGAUUGUAGUCUGCAACUCGACUACAUGAAGCUGGAAUCGCUAGUAAUCGUAGAUCAGCAUGCUACGGUGAAUACGUUCCCGGGUCU
rnacentral:rRNA from 1 species